rnacentral:rRNA from 1 species
GUGUCAGCCGCCGCGGUAAUACGAAGGGUGCAAGCGUUGUUCGGAAUCAUUGGGCGUAAAGCGCGCGCAGGCGGAUCAGCAAGUCAGAUGUGAAAUCUCGGGGCUCAACCUCGAAACUGCGUCUGAAACUGCUAGUCUAGAAUGUCGGAGGGGGUAGGGGAAUUUCACGUGUAGGGGUAAAAUCCGUAGAGAUGUGAAGGAACACCGGAGGCGAAGGCGCCUACCUGGACGACUAUUGACGCUGAGGCGCGAAAGCGUGGGGAGCAAACAGGAUUAGAAACCCUUGUAGUCC